AACCAGGACAGAGUCAGCAGCAGAUGUGCAGUCUCCUCACCACUGGAACCACAGUGGAGGUGAAGGAUACCACUGAAAAUGGACAGCAAGGGACUUGAGCUGAGAACAAAAAGAAGAAAAUAAAGAAUUAGAUAUUUGCAGUUACAGAGAUGAAUUGAGCUCACAAGGAAUUCAAAGAGCAAAGCAAGAACUAACAUUUGCAAAUCACAUCAUGCAAAUAAAGGGUUUUAUUCUGAGGUCUUCUGUUAUUAACCGAC